CUUAAAAGCUGGCGGGAUCCGACCGAGGUCUGGGUCGCUUGCUGGAGUGGAGGUGGGCCAGCCAGACCCGGCAUGGGGUUGGGCUCCUGCAGCUCCCGUGGAUCUCCCACCCGCGCCUUUUGCCUUGUGUAGAGCCUGGGUGGAGGAGUAGGGGGAGAGGGCAGGUGGCUGGCCUUCUGCACCCUCUGUCUCCCAGGCCGCUUCAGGGGCCGUGGAAGGAGCCUUAACUACGCUCAAACGGUCAUAUUUGUAGACAGUAAAAUGAUAAGGACUGAGCAGCCCAAAGUUAGCCUUCUGUACCCUGGAGAGCCUGGGAAUGGCUAUCUGCCUAGUCCGCGAGCCAGAAGACACAGCAGUCCCAACCUGGUGCCGAAGGCCUGGAAGAUCCCUGCUUGUUGCUGGGCUUCAUGAGAAGCUGGACAAUGACUUCAGUGGAGUACAGUGGCGGUGGCAGCAGACACACCAGCAAGAAGCCAAGUGCAACCUCAUCAGAGAGCAAGCUAAAAGCCUGGCGGUUUUAUCUGUAGUCACAGAGCAAGAGGGCAAUGCCACCAUUGCUGGAACCAAGACUUGAAAUAUGGAAUUCACACAGUUCACUGUCCACACGCAGGAGGACCCAGAUGCUCCAGACUGGCUAGAGUGACUGGGAAGCUGAGAGUUCUGAAUCAAGCCACGCGGCCUCACAGCUUACCUUACUUCCUUCUCAAUUGCUAUGGCAAGACUCUAUGACCAAGGUGAUAUAAAAGAAAGCGUUUAAUUUGGGGCUCACGGUUCCAGAAGGCCAGAGUCUAUGACCAGCUGGGUAAGGAGCAUGACAGCAGGUAGGCAGCCAUGGCACUGGAACUGUAGCUGAGAGAUUGCGUCUUGAACCACAAGCGGGAGGCAGAGAGAGCUAACUCCAAGAUGGUUUAGGCUUCUGAAACCUCAGCGCCUGCCCCGAGUCACACAUCUCCUCCAGUAGAGCCACACCUCUUCAUCCUCUCCAAACAGUUCCAGCAAGCAAGCAUUCAAAUAGACGAGCCUGUGAGGCCGCUCCUAAUCAAGCCAUCAAACACCACAUCCACAGGGCUGAAGUUACCCCAUCAAGUGUCUCCAGACAGUGUUAGGGCUCACUUCCCAUUGUUCAGGAAAAGCAAAUUCUUUUUUUUUUUUUAAAGAUUUAUUUAUUUAUUAUGUAUACAACAUUCUGCU